ensembl:lncRNA
AUUUACCAGGUGGUCGCUUGGUGUCCUCCGUUGCAAUUGUUGCGUAAUCUCCAGCUGCAGUACUUUUCCAUUUGCUACUGAGGAGAAACCCAACUGCCACGAAGGAUUUAUCAUCGAAUAGAUAUGUGAAAAACACCUUGAGGAUGAUUCUAAACAACGUUUGCCAUGUUUCUGUCGAUAUUAUGGAGUUAAUUUGGAAAAAAGUUUGGCAUUGUAGUGAAUGAAUUUUCGUUGUUUGUUUUCUUAGCCAAAAGUGAUGAACAAAACGGAGCGAUUUCUCCUACACAAAUAAUCUUUUUGGAAAAAAUGAACAUUUGCUAUCUAACUGAGAGUCUCCUCAUUGAAAACAUCCGAAGUUCUUCAAAGCCAAGCAGGAUGAACAAACGUGACGUUUUUCGCCUACAAAAAUAUUAUUUUUGGAAAAAAGGAACAUUUGCUAUUUAACUGGGAGUCUCCUGAGUGAAAGCAUCUGAAGUUCUUCAAAGGGAAUCAUUGACACGGCUGGCUAGCCUAUCUUCAAAGAAGCAUUUUCCAGAGGGAAUGGAAGUAGAAUAAACUCUGUAGUUCUGUUCAGGACUACAUGACAAGUCACUGGAUACUGGACGGAUACAGAGGAGAACAACAGUAGAAGAUGGGUGGGGACCCCUUUUGGACAAUCAGAGCCUUACAAGCAUGUCCCGCGAAAAGGCCCAACACCCUUUCCAAGAAGGCCUGAUUCCGACAGAAAUACACAAUGAACCAAGUCAUUUCACGUAAAUAUAUUCAUCGUUUCAUCGCAUAGCCGUACUCUUCCAUGACACCAUCACCCCCACUCCCCACUGACACAAGCUUAUGGAACCUGUUACAGUACAGUUAAAUUCAAAGAGUUUGUGCAAGUCCGAGGUCGUUAACAUGUUGUAAAAUCACAGCGACAGAGUGGUUCUUUGACAAUGGAACAAAUUUGGGGGCUUUUAGCUUUAAAAUGUUUUUUUUUGAAAAAAGGGAUUUUUGCAAAUGCAUCGUCUAGGAAGAAUUGGUCUGUAAGGCCGAUGCUUAACCAUCAGAUUUAUAUGGCGAGAAGAGGCAGGCAAGCAUGGCACUUAGUGACAUAAUGGAAGAUAACAUUUUCCCUCCAUUUUUAAGCCAUUUGAAAUAUUAGGCCCUAAUGGCACUUUAAAAUGUUUUUUUUUUCUUCACACUUCAAAUAUGAGUCUUAUCAAUGGAAUAAACAUAACUGCAAUUGGUUUGAAAUGCACUUUACAUUAAGUGUGCUUUCUUUGUAUGGGAUACCAUCUCAUGCCUAUCAUUUUACAAGUCUGCAAAACUCAAACGGAACUCUUAUGUCUCUUAAUGGGCAGUGAGUGCUUUACGAUGAUAUCCUAGUGGAGUGCACUAAGUACCUAUCAGUUUAAAGCUUGGCACACACAAUUGGAAAUGAUAAGGAGACGAG